rnacentral:lncRNA from 1 species
AUGCGGACGGAGAGAAGAGAAAGGGGGACCGGGGGGCGGGGGGGCACCCGGCAGAGCCGCCGCAAGCCCCUGCCCCCCUUAGCCUCUGCGGAGGGGCUGCCCCCGCCUGGCACCCGGAGGGGCGCCCACCUACACACGCGCCCACGCGGGGGGGGGCCGAGCAUCGCGGCCGGCAGCGCAGCCGGGGCGCCCGGGGCACCGCGGACCGCGGCCCCCGAGCGGCCCCCGAGCGCCCCGCUGUCCCAGGCCGGAGCGCGGAUGCGGGCGCGCACGGUGCGCGGCAGACACUCGUGCAGCGUGGAUUUCAAACGGAUCCGAGUCCAGGCUCCCACCCCAACUCUCCGGUCUCGGAGGCGCAGCACGCACAGCCCAGUAGAGCGCUCGGCUCUCCGCUCCAAGCAGCCUGCGGGCGGCGGCCUCCCCCUCGGACCCCUCCGUGGGCGCCUCAGGGGCGCGGGGCCCCCGGGGCGCGCCUCCAGCCCCCUCCCCGGGCCGACCCCAGCCCCGGCCGCGCGCGGCGACGCGGGCGGGACAAGGGCUCGUGCCGCCGAGCCAGCCCCUCGCAAAGGACCUCGGAUUCGUCCGUCCCGCUCCGCGCGAGGCUCGCCGGAGUCCUGUCAUUUUUUUUUUUUUUUUAAUUUUUUUUGCAGGCUGGUGGAUUGCGCCCGAGUCACGGAGAAGCACCAGCAGAGCAGCUCUUACAACUUUUCCGCUCUUGGGCGGGGGAGCGAGGGUGGCUCGCACCGCAAGGUCCUCGGUUGCCAAGACUUAGGCAGGUGCCCGGAGGGCGCGGCGAGCCCGGCUCGGAGCCCGGGGAGGGCAGAGGACGGGCGGGGUCCCGGGCGGCUGUGCCAUCGCCGCAGCGCGUGCGUCCUGCUCGGGCGGGCAGCGGGGAGCCGGGGGGACCGCCCGCCCGCCGCCCGGGGCACCCGCUCCCCGCUCCCCGCUCCCCGCUCGGCCCCGCCGGGGCCCCGCCCGCCGCCGCGGCGAGCACCACCGCCCGCAGCGCCCGGGCCCCCCGCCGCCUCCCCGGCGCCCGGCGCCCGGUCCCCGCUCGCCCCACGCGCUCCGCGCCGACUUUGCAGCACUUUCCCGCGGCCCCGGGGGCGCCGCCUCCUCCGCGCCGCCCCCCCGGCGCGGCGGCUCCCGGGGGACCCCAGCCCGGCCCGCACCCCCGCCCGGCCCCGCCGCUCACCUCUGCACAGCUGGGGGACACCCAGGCCGAGCCCGAUCAGGAGCCAGGCGGCCGCCGAGCGCUUCAUGGUGCGGGCUCCGGGACGCGGCCCGGCCGGCCGGGGGGCGCGGCGGAGGGCAGUGUCGGCGGGGCGGGCGGCCGCUGCCGGGAAUCCGGGGGACGCUGCGCGCCCGCGGCGCUCCUGCAACACGCGGCGGGAGAGGAGAGUGGCGGCCGCGGGCGCCGGGAGGCGGGCGAGCUCGGCGGAGCUGCGGGCGGGCUCGGCCUCCGCGGCGGGUGGGUCCCGGCCGAGGCGGGCGGGGCGGGCGGGCGGGCGGGGCUCCCGCGGCGGGGGCGGCGGGGAUGCGCGCCCGGCCCCUGCGCUCCGGCCGCCGCGGCUGCGGGCUCCCGACCCGGAGACCCCGAGAACAAUGGGGCGGGAGCCGGGGAGCGAGCGGCCCGGGCGCCCCGCGUGCUGUCAGCGGCGGCGAGCGCGGGCCUGGGCUGCCGGGCGCUCCCGCCUCCCCCGCCCCCCGGCCCCCUCCCCGGCCGUCCGCUCGCCUCCCUCGCCUCCCUCUCUCUCCUCCCUCUCCCUCUCCUCUCCUCUCCCUCUCCCUCUCCCUCUCCCUCUCCCUCUCCUCUCCUCUCCUCUCCCUCUCCCUCUCCCUCUCCCUCUCCCGUGGCUCCUUCUGCUGGAAGACGGAAGGGAGACAACUGCUGCCACACCCCGGCACCUGCCACCACCUCUAAAGUUCCCAGGGCGCCUGUACCUUCCCCGCGCGCGCCUGGGGCUCUAG